rnacentral:rRNA from 1 species
CGCUAGCUACAGGCUUAACACAUGCAAGUCGAGGGGCAGCAUUUUAGUUUGCUUGCAAACUAAAGAUGGCGACCGGCGCACGGGUGAGUAACACGUAUCCAACCUGCCGAUAACUCGGGGAUAGCCUUUCGAAAGAAAGAUUAAUAUCCGAUAGUAUAUUAAAACCGCAUGGUUUUACUAUUAAAGAAUUUCGGUUAUCGAUGGGGAUGCGUUCCAUUAGUUUGUUGGCGGGGUAACGGCCCACCAAGACUACGAUGGAUAGGGGUUCUGAGAGGAAGGUCCCCCACAUUGGAACUGAGACACGGUCCAAACUCCUACGGGAGGCAGCAGUGAGGAAUAUUGGUCAAUGGACGAGAGUCUGAACCAGCCAAGUAGCGUGAAGGAUGACUGCCCUAUGGGUUGUAAACUUCUUUUAUAUGGGAAUAAAGUAUUCCACGUGUGGAAUUUUGUAUGUACCAUAUGAAUAAGGAUCGGCUAACUCCGUGCCAGCAGCCGCGGUAAUACGGAGGAUCCGAGCGUUAUCCGGAUUUAUUGGGUUUAAAGGGAGCGUAGGUGGAUUGUUAAGUCAGUUGUGAAAGUUUGCGGCUCAACCGUAAAAUUGCAGUUGAAACUGGCAGUCUUGAGUACAGUAGAGGUGGGCGGAAUUCGUGGUGUAGCGGUGAAAUGCUUAGAUAUCACGAAGAACUCCGAUUGCGAAGGCAGCUCACUAGACUGCAACUGACACUGAUGCUCGAAAGUGUGGGUAUCAAACAGGAUUAGAUACCCUGGUAGUCCACACAGUAAACGAUGAAUACUCGCUGUCCGCGAUAUACAGUAAGCGGCCAAGCGAAAGCAUUAAGUAUUCCACCUGGGGAGUACGCCGGCAACGGUGAAACUCAAAGGAAUUGACGGGGGCCCGCACAAGCGGAGGAACAUGUGGUUUAAUUCGAUGAUACGCGAGGAACCUUACCCGGGCUUAAAUUGCAUUUGAAUAAUCUGGAAACAGGUUAGCCGCAAGGCAAAUGUGAAGGUGCUGCAUGGUUGUCGUCAGCUCGUGCCGUGAGGUGUCGGCUUAAGUGCCAUAACGAGCGCAACCCUUAUCUUUAGUUACUAACAGGUCAUGCUGAGGACUCUAGAGAGACUGCCGUCGUAAGAUGUGAGGAAGGUGGGGAUGACGUCAAAUCAGCACGGCCCUUACGUCCGGGGCUACACACGUGUUACAAUGGGGGGUACAGAAGGCAGCUACCUGGCGACAGGAUGCUAAUCCCAAAAACCUCUCUCAGUUCGGAUCGAAGUCUGCAACCCGACUUCGUGAAGCUGGAUUCGCUAGUAAUCGCGCAUCAGCCAUGGCGCGGUGAAUACGUUCCCGGGCCUUGUACACACCGCCCGUCAAGCCAUGAAAGCCGGGGGUAAAGGAAGUACGUAACCGCAAGGAGCGUCCUAGGGU